rnacentral:tRNA from 1 species
AGUCUUAUAUUCAAAUUAUGAUAUUAAAUUGCAAAUUUAAUGGUGAAUAUUAUUCUAAGACUU